ACCCAUACUAUGCCGAAUCUCUAUUAGGAGUACGGGGGAACUAUUUUGGGGUGAAACUUAUUCUUCACUAAGUGGGGUUCCUCAACCCUAACCCGUCAACUAACCUCGGAGGCAAAAUGAGGAGGAGUU
rnacentral:sRNA from 2 species